rnacentral:rRNA from 1 species
CCAUUAAAGCGGUACGCGAGCUGGGUUCAGAACGUCGUGAGACAGUUCGGUCCCUAUCCGUCGUGGGCGUAGGAAAUUUGAGAGGAGCUGUCCUUAGUACGAGAGGACCGGGAUGGACAUACCUCUGGUGUACCAGUUGUCGUGCCAACGGCAUAGCUGGGUAGCUAUGUGUGGACGGGAUAAGUGCUGAAAGCAUCUAAGCAUGAAGCCCCCCUCAAGAUGAGAUUUCCCAACUUCGGUUAUAAGAUCCCUCAAAGAUGAUGAGGUUAAUAGGUUCGAGGUGGAAG